rnacentral:lncRNA from 1 species
AGGGUAGGGGUGGGGUGGGAAUGGAGUGGGGAGAUCUGACUCUGCAGCCAUCCCUCACCACUCCUGCUUGGACAUCGCCAGGCUCAGCUAGAGAAGGCAGAAAAAGUUCCUCCAACUCCUUCCCCAGGCACCUAUGCAGGCUCCACACUCCUGCCUGAACAGCUAUGAUUUUAAAAGCCAUCGAGUCAUGAAGAGAAGUGUGCCAGUGUGUGCUGGACUCAGUUUCCCCUGUGCACCAUUUUCCCCAGUCAGCCCUGCACCUUCCAAGAACUAUGACCCGAAGGCACACCCUAGUCAGCUCAGGCCCCACAUUCCUGCAAAAAUAAGGCUCCAGGGCUCCCUCAUCGCAGCAUGGGUUCUGCAGGAAGCCCCAGUGCCAAGUGGCUUUCAAAACUAGCCUCAGCUAGCAACGUGGCGGCUAUUUCAGCGACCGACAAAAGCAGCUCCCCCAGCCUCCCUUGGUGUUUGUGGUCCCUUUUGUUCCAGCCAGGCACCAUGAGGAAAAUGCAGCAACCGUUUGGAAACAAAGGCUCGGGCAGGCUCUCUCCAGUCUGAAAAGCCCACUUUCACUUGAGUUUCAGGUUACUGAGAGGUUAAGAAUUGCCAAAAAAGACCUGUGCCUUCCCUCUGAUAUUCCCUGGGUUUAGUUCUUCUCUCCUCCUUCUGCCAAGAGACCACUGAGAAGUGCCUCCGAAGAGCUAAGGGCUGCCCCAGGUGGUUAUGUGGGAGGUGAGUCAAGGCUUGAGGAUCUGGAGACUAAGCAACUCUCAAGAGAAAGUUCUGCUGGGACCCCUCCCUUGGUCUUCCCUUUCUGCCCCCUCUGAUGCCCCCUUCAUCCAUCCCUGCCUGCCUUCUGGUCUGUCCCUGCAGCGUGAGUGCCAGACAGAGGCCUGUUCUGAUGUCCUGACAUGCUACAAUUAUGCAGAUUUACACAGCAAGCAUAAGACCUUCUCCGCAUGUAUGGCUUCCCCAUUCCCAAGCAGACCAUGAACUUCCUAAGGAAAGUGACCGAAUUCCGCACUUCUCAACCCUCGCGGAGGGGCAGGGAGAUGGAUGAAGAAAUAAAGAGAGGGUGAAAUCAUUCUGGGAAGUUUCCUUGAAAGGGGUGAGUCAUAAAGAGGGGGUUGGGUGCAGGUGAGGAGGAGGAAGAUUACAGACUGCAGGGAUGAGCAAAUACCAUUUCCCAGGAUUUCCUGAAGUUUUUCUCCCCUCCCAAAGCCCAAAUCUGCCUCUUUCUGGGGCCCAGCGAGGACCCUGGAAGACAGAGAUCCUAGAAAAAGCAGAGGGAAAAGAAGAGGAAGAGAACAUGGAGAAACCGCCAGGGAACAGAACUCUUGGUCCAGGAGGCGCAAACCACAAGUGCAAUUAGUCAAAAAAAAACCCUGAAAUUAAAAAAUGAUUCCAAGCUGAGGAGGGGAGUACAUAAGUUACUGCAGCCCCAAGACAUUUAUGAAUAAUACAAAUGCUGUGAGGUGCUGAGCCUGAGCACAGUUAAUUAAUAUGUACAGGAGCAGAGAUGCACUUGAAAAACAAUAGUGCUGUUUCCCCCUCGCCAGAAGUAAAAAUAUUUCCAGAAA